rnacentral:misc_RNA from 1 species
CCUAGAGUUGUAGGCUUUGCCUGCUAUCUCUUACCCAUGUCUUUUGAGUACCUUACGUUUCCUCGGCGGGUCCGCCCACCGAUUGGACAAAUUUAAACCAUUUGCAGUUGCAAUCAGCGUCUGAAAAAACUUAAUAGUUA